UCUCAGUUUACUUUCAAAGGUUCUGAUAGGAAACAUGACAUCCAUUGGUUGUGGUGGGAAAGGAGAGUGGAAGUGAAGGUGUUGAGAGUCCUCGGGAGCGAAGAACACGGGGCUGUAAAUAAGAUCAGGCUCCUCCUUCGAAUCACCUCCUCAGUGUUGAUGAAGAGCUGCGGGAGUUCACAGUGACUACGCACUGCAGACAUGGCGCCUCUAUUCAUGUCAGUGUUGCUGGCUGCUCUGAGCCUUGGAAGCAGAGCACAAACAGACAGCGUGCUGCAGCCACAAGCAGAGGUGGCAGCUACUGAAGGAGAGGCCGUGACACUUGGCUGUCAAUACAACAGCAGUUCAUCAAAUCAUUAUCUCUUCUGGUACAAACAGGACGGAAACAACAGCCCCAAAUUCAUCCUGAGUCGCUUUAAGGUUGGCUCGGGGGAAACCGAGGACGAGGAGAGAUUUUCAUCCACACUGGAUUCCACCUUAAGAUCAGUUCCUCUGAAGAUCCAGAAGCUUCAUCUGUCAGACUCUGCUGUGUACUACUGUGCUAUGAGGCCGAAUACUGGAAAUCAAAAGAUGAUCUUUGGAAAUGGAACCAGACUAACCAUCGAACCCAAGAGGAAGUACGAGCCGUCCUUCUACAAGCUGUCAGACGGCAACACCUCGCUCUGCUUGGCCACCGACUUCAGCAGAACCAAAGCAGCGAAGACCAAAGCCGGCUUCAACAGAACCGACGCGGUCCGGAUCAGCGGACACUCGCUGUACAACCAGGUGGCCUUGUGGUCCGGGGAGGAAGACGAGUGUGAGGAAGGUGGACCUGAACCUGGACAUGGACCUGGACCCGAAGGGUGUCGAGUAACUCUGGAACCAGAUACAAAGGUGAACAUGGUGUCUCUUACCAUCCUGGGCCUUCGGCUGCUCUUCCUCAAGACCAUCGUCUUCAACGUGCUGAUGACCCUGCGGCUGUGGAUCAGUCAUUAAAGUCUGCGGAGCUUCACCAGAAGAUGACGUCAUCGUCUCUUUGUCUGAACAUAAAUAUCACAUUAAUGAAUGUGAACAUUUAAUCCAUUUCAUACUUUUAACACCUGACCAGCUGAAUAAUAAUGUUUAAAAACUGUAAAGAUAUUAACUGUUCCAAUAAAGACAAAUAACAACGGAUUGAA